rnacentral:lncRNA from 1 species
CACCUCUGAGCAGCCUGCAGCCCCAUCCGAACUUAUGGUUGAGUAGUCUGCAGUCCCACGCGAACUCACCUCUGAGCAGCCUGCAUUCCCAUCCGAACUCACCUCUGAGCAUCCUGCAUCCUGCACAUGGACCAUUUCCAUUACCUUUCUGCAUCUUGCACAUGGACCAAAUCCACCCUUCUCCUUCCCCUCACUUUUCUCAGUGAAAGAAGAGGUUUUCAUGCAUGCACACACACACACACAGCGAAUGGCAUAAACAAGCAGUAAGAAGGAAACAAAUGCCACUUUCUGUCACAAAUACGCACAUUGCUCAGCUGCUAAGGAACCAGCGCACCUCUGCGGACGUUGUAUUUGUAUUAUUUCCUUGGAAAUAAUACAAGUUACUUGGAAACCUGAGGUAAAUCUCACCUUAGAUGGCUCAGGUCACAGGCACCAAUGGUUCCCUGCUCCUCCCAUCCCUCAAGGCAGUGCCAGACACAUAAUUUGUGGGGCUCAGUGCAAAAUGAAAAUGGUGGCCCCCCUUGUUUAAAAAGCAAGGAAAAUGUGCCAGUAACAGUACUGAAAUAUUAAGCUUUUUCCUUUCUUCCACAGUCUCUCUACUUGAAUUGGCAUUUUUUUAUUUGCUUGCUAUUUAAUGCUGUUCUAAGUAAAGGCAAAUUAAAAAUUUAAAUUUUCGUGAAUUUUACUUUUUAUAUUUUGAAAUGUCAGUUUUAAAUGAAAAUAAAAUAUUUAAUUCAUAUUUGGAAUCAUUGCAAUUACUCAGUUCAUAUUUCAUGGCUUGUGCAUGCAUAUAUAUUUUGUUCUUAUUGGAAGUGUGCAAACGCUGCAAAAAUCCAACUUAACUUUUUUAUUUUACUUCUUGUUGCAUACAUGUUCUUCCAACACUCUGUGACAGCCAGUGGCUCCCAUAACGUGACUACUUUGCACUUGCUUUAAGUUUCACUGAACUCCCACACAUUUUAGGUAGGUCCGCUGGAGUGCCGUGCUCAUAGGAUAUGAAAAAAGAAUGGUGGCAGAUAUGCAGAUUCCACGUAUCUUCCCUUCUCAUCUGCAUGCUCCAUUGUCCCAAUGGACUUCCGUGAAAAAGCAGAAGCUGAAAGAGAAAAUUAUCAAGAAUUUCCAGAUAGUGAUAGCAACAGCAGAGCACUAACCCAGGUACAGGACCCUUCUGACCUGGGGCCCCGUGUCACUGCACAGAUCACAAGCUCGUUAAGCCAAAUUUACCUCAGAGACAACUAAUAUCUUACACCAAGGCAACAGCCUUCUCUAGAAGUCACAAGGCCUGGUUCUUACGUUCCCCAGCCCCUGAUAUGUUUCUAUGCAUUAAAAGUUAGUAGAAACUAGGCACAAUGGCAUACAUUGUAGUCCCAGCCACCCCCAGGGCUGCGGUAGGAAGAUUGCUUGAGACCAGGAGUUGGAGGUUUCAGUGUGCUGUGAUCGCACCUGGGAAAAGCCACUGCCAGUCCUGCCUGAGAAACAAAGCAAGACUCUGUAUCUUAAAAAAAAAAAAAAAAAAAAAAAAAAA